rnacentral:rRNA from 1 species
AGUGAACGCUGGCGGUAGGCCUAACACAUGCAAGUCGAACGGCAGCACAGGAGAGCUUGCUCUCUGGGUGGCGAGUGGCGGACGGGUGAGGAAUACAUCGGAAUCUACCUUUUCGUGGGGGAUAACGUAGGGAAACUUACGCUAAUACCGCAUACGACCUACGGGUGAACGUGGGGGACCGCAAGGCCUCACGCGAUUAGAUGAGCCGAUGUCCGAUUAGCUAGUUGGCGGGGUAAUGGCCCACCAAGGCGACGAUCGGUAGCUGGUCUGAGAGGAUGAUCGGCCACACUGGAACUGAGACACGGGCCAGACUCCUACGGGAGGCAGCAGUGGGGAAUAUUGGACAAUGGGCGCAAGCCUGAUCCAGCCAUACCGCGUGGGUGAAGAAGGCCUUCGGGUUAUAAAGCCCUUUUGUUGGGAAAGAAAUCCUAUCGGUUAAUAACCGGUGGGGAUGACGGUACCCAAAGAAUAAGCACCGGCUAACUUCGUGCCAGCAGCCGCAGUAA